UAACACCUGGAAACAGAUGCUAAUACCGGAUAAUAACAGAUGAUGCCUAUCAACUGUUUAAAAGAUGGUUCUGCUAUCACUCUUGGAUGGACCUGCGGUGCAUUAGCUAGUUGGUAGGGUAACGGCCUACCAAGGCGAUGAUGCAUAGCCGAGUUGAGAGACUGAUCGGCCACAUUGGGACUGAGACACGGCCCAAACUCCUACGGGAGGCAGCAGCU
rnacentral:rRNA from 1 species